UUUUUUUUUUUUUUGAGACAGAGUCUUGCUCUAUCACCAGGCUGGAGUGCAGUGGCAUGAUUCCGGUCCACUGCAACUUCCAUGUUCCUUGGUCAAGCAAUUCUCCUGCCUCAGCCUCCUGAGUAGCCGGGUUUACAGGCACGCACCACCAUGCCCAGCUAAUUUUU